AGGAGAUUAAAAGGAGGCUGUUUGCUCCCUUCUACCAUGUGAGAAUGCAGCAAGAGGUACCAUCUCUGUGCAAUGAGCCCUUACCAGACAUUGAACCUGCUGGCACUUUAUCUUGGACUUCCCAGCCUCCAGAACUAGAUGAUGUCUUGCCACAUUGCCCAGGCUGGUCUCAAACUCCAGGCCUAAAGGGAUCUUCUGACUUUGGCCUCCCAAAGUGCUGAGAUUAUAGGAUCGAGGCUAUCAAGCUACAGAUGAUCUUACAAAUGGAACCCCAAAUGAGCUCAACUAACAACUACCAAGGACCCCUGGACCAACCCGCUGGCCCUUUCAAUGGCCUAAAGAGUUCCCCUCUGGAGGACACUACAACUGCAGGGUCCUUUCUUUGCCCCUAUCCAGCAGGAAGUAGCUAGAGUGGUCAUCACCCAAUUCCCAACAGCAGUUGGGGUGUCUUGUUAAGUGGGGAGAUUGAGAGGUGAAGCCAGCUGGGCUUCUGGGUUGGGUGGGGACUUGGAGAACUUUUCUGUCUAGCUAGAGGAUUGUAAACACACCAAUCAGUGCUAUGUGUCUAGCUAGAGGUUUGUAAAUGCACCAAUCAGCACUCUGUAAAAACGGACCAAUCAGCACUCUGUAAAAUGGACCAAUCAGUAGGAUGCGGGCAGGGCCAAAUAAGGGAAUAAAAGCUGGCCACCUGAGUCAGCAGUGGCAACCCACUCGGGUCCCCUUCCAUGCUGUGGAAGCUUUGUUCUUUCACUCUUCACAAUAAAUCUUGCUGCUGCUCACUCUUUGGGUCCACACCACCUUUAUGAGCUGCAACACUCACUGCGAAGGUCUUCAGCUUCACUCCUGAAGUCAGCGAGACCACGAACCCAUGGGGAGGAACAAUCGACUUCAGACAUGCCACCUUUAAGAGCUGUAACACUCACUGCGAAGGUCUGUGGCUUCACUCCUGAAGUCAGCAAGACCACGAACCCACUGGAAGGAAGAAAUUUCGGACACAUCUGAACAUCUGAAUGAACAAACUCUGGACACGCCAUCUUUAAGAACUGUAACACUCACUGUGAGGGUUCAUGGGUUCAUUCUUGAAGUCAGCAAGACCAAGAACCCACCAGAAGGAACCAAUUCCGGACACAGACUCACUGCAACCUCCACCUCCUGGAUUCAAGUGAUUCUCCUGCCUCAGCCUCCGGAGUAGCUGUGCCUACAGGCACAAGCCACCACACACGGCUAAUUUUUUGUAUUUUUAGUAGAGAUGGGGUUUCACCAUGUUGCUCAGGCUGGUCUCCAACUCCUGAGCUCAAGUGAUCCACCUGUCUCGGCCUCCCAAAGUGUUGGGAUACAUGUGUGAGCCACUGUGCCCGGCCUCCUCUGGAUUAGUUCUUACAGGAAUAGAUUAGUUCUUGCUCGAGCAAGUUGUUAUAAAAGUGAGGUUGCCUCUAGUGUUUUGCAUCCUCACAUAUGUCUGCUUACCUCUUGACCUCUCUCUGUGUUAUGACCCAGCACAAAAGCCCUUACCAGAAGCCAAGCAGAUGCUGAUGCCACACCCCUUGGACUUCUCAGUCUACAGAGCCAUGAAACGAAUAAACC
rnacentral:lncRNA from 1 species